UACGUAGGGUGCGAGCGUUGUCCGGAAUUAUUGGGCGUAAAGAGCUUGUAGGCGGUUUGUCGCGUCUGCCCGUGAAAAUCCGGGGCUCAACCCCGGACUUGCGGUGGGUACGGGCAGACUAGAGUGUGGUAGGGGAGACUGGAAUUCCUGGUGUAGCGGUGAAAUGCGCAGAUAUCAGGAGGAACACCGAUGGCGAAGGCAGGUCUCUGGGCCACUACUGACGCUGAGAAGCGAAAGCGUGGGGGAGCGAACAGG
rnacentral:rRNA from 1 species